UACGUAGGGUGCGAGCGUUAAUCGGAAUUACUGGGCGUAAAGCGUGCGCAGGCGGCUAUUUAAGCUUGCUGUGAAAGCCCCGGGCUUAACCUGGGAACUGCAGUGAGGACUGGAUGGCUGGAGUGUGGCAGAGGGGGGUGGAAUUCCACGUGUAGCAGUGAAAUGCGUAGAUAUGCGGAGGAACACCGAUGGCGAAGGCAAUCCCCUGGGCCUGCACUGACGCUCAUGCACGAAAGCGUGGGGAGCAAACAGG
rnacentral:rRNA from 1 species